GCUCUGGUGGUGCAAUGGUAACACACUCAGCUGCUAACAGAAAGGUUGGUGGUUCAAAUCCACUCAGCAGCU
rnacentral:tRNA from 1 species